CAUCAGGGGGUCCUUUUGUCCCUCUUUGGGGGGAUACUCCCACUAGGUUUAAAUCUGGGAGUCUCUGCCAUUUGACCUUAGAACUGAAGAAGCUUCUCGGAUGAGAGGUGAAACGUCUUCAAGCAAUACGAAAAAGACUACAGUAAAAUUGUAUACUGUUGACUUGUUGUUGACAUUUGUAGAGGAAUUUAACGUUGCAACUUGGAAUGGUAGUUGUAAGCAUUUGAUAGGAUAUAUAUAUUAACUUUACAUUAAGCCAUUUAUUAGAACCAGACCACUAUAAUACGGGUGGGGUUUCAAUUAUUGAUUUUCUGAUUAAAAUCGAUUUUAGCUUGAAUAACGCGAUAUGGAUUCAUUAAAUCCUGAACUGAUUUUUAAAUAUAAAUGUUUUUUGCCAGAAACGCCAGAAUGUCAGGUUAAAGCUUUCAUUUCAACAACCACCAAACGGCUUUCUCACCCGACAGCAUGUACACGUACACGCUGUUGGGGUUGAACGCCGACAUCUCACAGAUUCUGAUGCUGCGGGUUUUGUCGCUCUCCAACCAAAAUUCACUAAACUAGCAGCAAAAGAAGAUCAAAACUACUAAAUAUUGUUAUUAAUUCCCAUUUGCUGUUUUGAUUCCACCACAAUAAAAAAAAAAAAAAAAAAAAAAAAAAAAAAAUCACACUUCUUGCACAUCUCUGUCCCUCUCUCUAAGGGUACUUCAAGAACAGUUUCCCAAUCUCAAAUCUCUGUUUUCUGCAUUAUUCGCUUGCUUAUCUUGCACCAGUCUACCGUUGUGCAGAACGCUGUCGGCUAGGGCUGCCACAAACAAUUAUUUUGAUAGUCGACUAGUCACCGAUUACUUUUUGCGAUUAGUCGACUAAUCAGAUCAUGCAUCCAUUAGACGUAAAACGUACAGCUUAUUGCACCAGCAGCAUCUGCUCUUAUUUAACUAUCAUUAGCUUACAGCUUGAAGUGUGUAAGGUAUGUGCUAACUAAAAAUAAAGACAAGAUGAUAGUUUAUUAAAUUUUAAUGAAAUUUGCAGAUUGUUUCGGUGAAGUUUAAUAAACUCCUUGCUAUCUAAAAUAACGGGACACCAGAGUAUAUUCUCGAGCAUCUCACACUUCUGAUAAUCAGCUGUCUGCUUCACGUUUAUUCAGCUGUGUAAAAACUAUAACUUUAAUCUCAGCCAAACCGAUUUAAUCAGGA
ensembl:lncRNA